GAUGAACGCUGGCGGCGUGCCUAAUACAUGCAAGUCGAGCGAACGGACGAGAAGCUUGCUUCUCUGAUGUUAGCGGCGGACGGGUGAGUAACACGUGGAUAACCUCACUAUAAGACUGGGAUAACUUCGGGAAACCGGAGCUAAUACCGGAUAAUAUUUUGAACCGCAUGGUUCAAAAGUGAAAGACGGUCUUGCUGUCACUUAUAGAUGUAUCCGCGCUGCAUUAGCUAGUUGGUAAGGUAACGGCUUACCAAGGCAACGAUGCAUAGCCGACCUGAGAGGGUGAUCAGCCACACUGGAACUGAGACACGGUCCAGACUCCUACGGGAGGCAGCAGUAGGGAAUCUUCCACAAUGGGCGAAAGCCUGACGGAGCAACGCCGCGUGAGUGAUGAAGGUCUUCGGAUCGUAAAACUCUGUUAUUAGGGAAGAACAUAUGUGUAAGUAACUGUGAACAUCUUGACGGUACCUAAUCAGAAAGCCACGGCUAACUCCGUG
rnacentral:rRNA from 1 species